GCCAGAAGCACGGUGGUGAUUUCCAAACCAUUUACAGGAAAGCCUCGGCCUUCAGCAACAGCAGCUGUGUGAGUUUAUCACAUUCAUGUCACAUGUCUGUUUGGACCAUGGAACAGAUCCCGAUUCCUUAGAGUGAUCACCGAGACAACCAGAGAAGUGAAGAGUCCCUUUAAACCUGGAGGAGAGGAGCACCAGGGACAGAGCCAAGGUCACCACAGAGAACGGGAUGCUUUCAUAUUCCCGUCCUGGGAGGUUGUACGGGAUGACGAUGCGGUUCCUUCCUGGUGGGCCGUGUUUAGCUGAGAGAGACUCAAAGUGUUCCCACACUCCAUCAUCAUCUCGAAGAGGGCUAACCGUGAUGUUUGGGACCAUCUGUGCUCCAGCUUUCUUCAUAAAAAACUCUGUGCUGAGGCCUCAGUUUUCCUGUAGCGACACCGUACACUAAACCAGAAGUGAUGCAGUUCCAGGGAGAAUACAGGAGCACGUCAGUGAUGGUGGGCAGAGG